rnacentral:rRNA from 1 species
UACGGAGGGUGCAAGCGUUAUCCGGAAUCAUUGGGUUUAAAGGGUCCGCAGGCGGUCUUAUAAGUCAGUGGUGAAAGCCUACAGCUCAACUGUAGAACUGCCAUUGAUACUGUAGGACUUGAAUUCGGUCGAAGUGGGCGGAAUAUGACAUGUAGCGGUGAAAUGCUUAGAUAUGUCAUAGAACACCGAUAGCGAAGGCAGCUCACUAGGCCUGGACUGACGCUCAGGGACGAAAGCGUGGGGAGCAAACAGG